UAGCUGGCUUGUGGCAGUCAAGCAUUCAUAACGACAUCACUUCUCGAUCCUUCGGCGCCUGCUCUUCUUAUCGCCGUGAGGCAGAGUUCACCGAGCAUUGGACUGUCCACACACUAACAGAGAGAAAGAAGAAGGUCAGUGCCGGAGGGGAGAUG
rnacentral:ncRNA from 1 species